rnacentral:rRNA from 1 species
GAUUUCCUUAGUAACGGCGAGCGAAAAGGAAAUUGUCCAGCGCCAAGUCUUGACAUUUAGGUGUUCAAGAGAUGCGGCGUUAAUGUGUUGGCGCCUCGUGCGUUGCUUUCCGUUUCAAGUUCCCUUGAAUGGGACCCCAAAGUGGGUGCAAGGCCCAUAGAGACAGGAAGCUGGCGUAUGCAGGCCAAUGCAUUCUAGAGUCAGGUUGCUUGAGAGUGCAGCUUAAAGUCGGUGGUAAACUCCAUCUAAGACUAAAUAUUACAGCGAGACCGAUAGCAAACAAGUACCGUGAGGGAAAGUUGGAAAGCACUUUGAAGAGAGAGUUAAACAGUACGUGAAACCACUGGGAGGCAAACAGAUGGAACCACGAAGUUUGCGCUCCGGCCGAUUCAAUCUUUGGUGUUGGUCUGCCGUUGGUGGAUUGGGUCUUUUCGGAGGCUGUCCACUGGCGUCAUGAUUGGCACCACUGGUGCAUUUCGUGCCGGGGAUGCUAAGCCACGUUCGAUUAGAGUUGGARCGGCCGUAGGAUAGGGUUCGGAAAAGGUGCCCGUCACGUGCUUGCAUGUGAUGGUGUUAUAGUUCCGAGCUGGAACCGUUUCCUAACAUGCUGAUCGAUGAAAAUUCUCCGUUUGGAGUUGAACCACGUCUGCCUAUGGCCGGUAGAGUGCAUUUCGAUGUGUCCUUUGCGUGUCCUUGGAUGCGUAAAGCCGCGUCAACAGUGUAGGUUGCCGGUUGUUUGCGUGACGUGGUGGAACUGUGGCGCGAGUAGGUCGGUGUCCAUCUGACCCGUCUUGAAACACGGACCAAGGAGCCUACCAUAUACGCAAGUCACUCGGUCUUGUUUAGGCCUGGGAGGCGAAAUGAAAGUAACGCUACGAAGCUUCGGCUGCAGUAGYGGCACGCCUACUUCGUUUAUUGGCGAUCGGGCGUAGCUGGAGCGUAUACGGUGGUACCCGAAAGAUGGUGAACUAUGCCUGGGCAAGACGAAGCCAGAGGAAACUCUGGUGGAGGUCUGUAGCGAUUCUGACGUGCAAAUCGAUCGUCAGACCUGGGUAUAGGGGCGAAAGACUAAUCGAACCAUCUAGUAGCUGGUUCCCUCCGAAGUUUCCCUCAGGAUAGCAGGCGCCUGUUAUGAUCAGUCUCAUCCGGUAAAGCUAAUGAUUAGAGGUCUUGGGGUUGAAACGACCUCAACCUAUUCUCAAACUUUAAAUGGGUGAGAUGGUUGACUUUCUUGAUUGAAGCCAACCAAUUGGAUGUAGGUGCCUAGUGGGCCAUUUUUGGUAAGCAGAACUGGCGCUGUGGGAUGAACCAAACGUCGAGAUAAGGCAUCAAAUGCAUACGCUCAUGAGACCCCAUGAAAGGUGUUGGUUGCUAUAGACAGCAGGACGGUGGCCAUGGAAGUCGGAAUCC